AACAAACCACAUCUAGCAGGAAGACUUGAGUGCUACACUGCAGGAGACUCAGCAGGCGAGCAGUGACGCGUCGUGGUGAGCAGGGGGCGGACUCAGCAGGUGGAGGGCGCCGAGAUAAGCAGGAGAUAAGACUCAGACAGAACAUCAGGCGUGAAAGAAAGGUUCGAACUGUGAAGACGAGAAGGCGACGCAAGACUGACCAAGAAGCCACGAUGAUGAUGAUGAUGGCUGAUGGUGAAGAUCAAGACCUCGCGUUGUUUACAUGGGCUGUUUACAGUUGCAGCAAACAAACAAACAAACAAGCAAACAAGAGGCAGCUGUUUAUGUGCCAGGACUCCCUCCGUGCAUCCCUCCUGCAGCCCCAGGCUUCCUGCAGGACCGGACGCAGCCAGGAGCAGCGUUGCAAUGGAGGGUGCAAGGCCAGGAAACAGCAGCAGCAGCAGCAGCAGCAGGAACAGGCUGGAGCAGCGGGCGACCCAGGGCGUGAGGACCUACACUUGUGACCACUGCGGCAAAGUGUGCUCCACCAAGGCUGCCAUUGCCAGACACGUCCUCUCCCAUGCCAGCAAGACAAGGCUGAGAGGCAGGAGUGGCCCCGCUGAACACACUGCCACCCACACUGGUGGCAGGAACCACAAGUGUGACCUCUGCGGGAAGACAUUUGUCAAGAAGAGUCAUCUUGCCUCACACAUCCUCACCCACACUGGGGAGAGAAAGUUCCAGUGCCUGGAGUGUGGGAAAAGAUUUACCCGCAAAAGUCAUCUUAACACACACAUCCUCACCCACACUGGGGAGAGAAAGUUCCAGUGCCUGGAGUGCGGGAAAAGAUUUACCCAGAAAAGUAAUCUUAACACACACAUCCACACCCACACUGGGGAGAGAAAGUUCCAGUGCCUGGAGUGUGGGAAAAGAUUUACCAACAAAAGUAAUCUUAACACACACAUCCUCACUCACACUGGGGAGAGAAAGUUCCAGUGCCUGGAGUGUGGGAAAAGAUUUACCCACAAAAGUCAUCUUAACACACACAUCCUCACCCACACUGGGGAGAGAAAGUUCCAGUGCCUGGAGUGUGGGAAAAGAUUUAUCCAGAAAGGUGAUCUUGACAAACACAUCCUCACCCACACUGGGGAGAGAAAGUUCCAGUGCCUGGAGUGUGUGAAAAGAUUUACCCGCAAAAGUAAUCUUAACACACACAUCCUCACCCACACUGGGGAGAGAAAGUUCCAGUGCCUGGAGUGUGGGAAAAGAUUUACCCACAAGGGUUCCCUUAACACACACAUCCUCACCCACACUGGGGAGAGAAAGUUCCAGUGCCUGGAGUGUGGGAAAAGAUUUACCCACAAAAGUAAUCUUAACACACAUAUCCUCACCCACACUGGGGAGAGAAAGUUCCAGUGCCUGGAGUGUGGGAAAAGAUUUACCCGGAAGGGUUCCCUUGACAGACACAUCCUCACCCACACUGGAAAGAAGAAGAGAAAACAGCCAAAAUCAUAGCUGUUGCAGUCCCCGGUGACUCCGGCCUCAGUAGAGCUGAAAGGCACGCCCACAGGCAGCAGACGAGCCGCAAGUUCCAGGCCCUGCCACCACCACCGCCACCAGCAGCAGCAGCAGCAGCAGCAGCAGCACAGCCACAGGAGGGGGAGGAGAAGGCCCUGCUGGCACCCAACCCCCCACCAUCCCAGGACACUCUUCCUACUGUGGAGAGAUCAGAUUGUUCCACUGAGUACACCUCCAGGUACCUGACGGACUUUGAGCCGGUGCAGCGUCUGGCGCGGGGCGGGCUUGGCGUGGUGUGUCAGGUGCGGAACAAGUUGGAUGAGAAUGAGUAUGCCGUGAAGAGGAUCAACCUGCCAACCAACAAGUCAUCUGCUGAGAGAGUGAAGAGGGAGGUGAGGGCCCUGGCCAAGCUCAACCACGCCAACAUUGUCGUCCGCUGCUACAACAGCUGGCCGGAGACGCCCCCCCAGGAUGGCAGGACCCCCAAGACGCCACGCAUAGCCAGCAAGUCUCCUGCGUUUGUGUGCGUAUGUUUGUGUGCGUAUUUACUUAGCGGUGACACACAGGAGAGGAGGUAAUUUCCUACUGUCCUGUCUUCAUAACUGUUCUUAUCCAACAGUGAAAAGGAAGUGCAGGUGUGGUGUUUGUGGCUGUGCUCAUCACUUUUUUCUUUAUUUUUUAGCUAAUUGAUCAAUAAAAUGUUGGUAGCCUUGCACACACAGCUUUUGUUGACUUGUAAGGCCUUGGGGGCUGAUGGGUGUUGCUGAGGGCAGGGUGACCGGCAGCCUUCCUGUGCUCCUCAAUUUUUUCUUUAUUUUUUAGCUUCUUGAUCAAUAAAGUGUUAUCAGCCUUGUACACACAGCUUUGGUUCACUUGCACAAGGUUUUGGGGGCUCGGGGGUGUUCUUAAGGGGGGCACUAACUGUCCUGGGGUGUUCCUUACCAACGUGUGUCUUGCCUCACGCUGGGGACAAGCAGGGCUGGCUGGGUGACGAUGAGCAUUCACCAUCUUGACUGGGGGCAGUGUGGGAGGGAAGACAAAUGAAGAGAGAGAGAAUGGUUGAUAUUGCAUCUCUUGCUAUUCAAAGCUUGUUAGCACAUAGUGUAGGGAACCAUUGUAACUGUAGAUUCGAACCUUCUAGAAGCAUAAGUGGAAAUUUCCUAUUGUGACGCCCGCUGGGAGUAGUGUCUAAUUACUGUUUCUUCUCCUAGUUUACUGGUAAAUAUUAAGAUAGGAAUAACUAUUAUAUGCAAUAAUAAAAUAAUAAUUAAUAACUGUAAAUGUUAAACUAUAUAAAUAGGCAAUAGCUAGAUAGAAUAACUCAUAUGUGAAAUAUGAUCCUGUGAAACCUAUCACCUACGAUGUCACGUGAUCACAAGCGCCGCACCUUGAGGAACGCCGCAUUGCCCCGGGCAGUUGGGUGGAGAGCUCCAAUCUGGCCAGCUGGGUGUGCGCGGUGCGCUGUGUCCUGUGUGCGUCUGAACUCUGCCACGAACAAUUGCACUAAGACUACACCCUGAGUCUUUCCCACAAGUGUGUACCUUUUGUGUAUAAGGCAGGGAAAUAAGUGCAAGUGACAGUGUAUAAGUGACUUUAUUGUGGUGACAAGAACAGUGACAGACAGACUACAUAUCCUUGUGCUGAGAUUCAGUUUCUUGGGCUCAGUACUUAAGUGGUAUUGUAUGUAAACUGUAAAUAUAUAUGUACAAACUGUAAAAA